GAUGAAGAACGCAGCGAAAUGCGAUAAGUAAUGCGAAUUGCAGAAUUUCCGUGAGUCAUCGAAUCUUUGAACGCACAUUGCGCCCACUGGUAUUCCGGUGGGCAUGCCUGUUCGAGCGUCAUUAUCCUCCCUCAAACCCCGGGUCUGGUGUUGGACCCAAGUUGUGUGAACAACUGGUCUCAAAGACAAUGACGGCGUCCGUGGGACCCUCGGUGCAACGAGCUUUUAGGAGCACGCAUCGAGUUGCAAGGACCUUCCGGGCCGGUCUCCUUUACCAUUUUACAAGGUUGACCUCGGAUCAGGUAGGAAUACCCGCUGAACUUAAGCAUAUCAAUAAGCGGAGGA
rnacentral:misc_RNA from 1 species